rnacentral:rRNA from 1 species
AUGGAGACAGCCGCCGCCGUGUCCCUGCCCAGAUCCGCCGGCCGUGCCGCGCUCCCCUUCCCGGCUCCCCUCAAGCUCCAGGGCCGCGUUGCGCUCCCCCGCCGUGCGCUCUCCGGGGCGCCAGGGCCGAGGCAGCGCCUCGUCGCGCGCUGCGCGGCUGCCGACAACAGUGCGGCGGCGGAGCUCCCCAUCGAGAAAAGAUUCGCCGCCUUCCCCACCAUCAUGGACAUCAACCAGAUCCGCGAGAUCCUGCCCCACAGGUUCCCCUUCCUUCUGGUAGAUAGGGUGAUCGAGUACAAGGCAGGAGAGUAUGCUGUUGCGAUCAAGAAUGUCACUAUAAAUGACAACUUCUUCCCCGGCCACUUCCCGGAGCGCCCGAUAAUGCCCGGCGUUCUCAUGGUUGAGGCCAUGGCCCAGGUUGGCGGUAUCGUGAUGCUGCAGCCUGAAGUCGGUGGAUCCCAAGACAAUUUCUAUUUUGCAGGGGUUGAUAAGGUGAGAUUCAGGAAACCAGUCAUUGCUGGUGACACUUUGGUCAUGAGGAUGACCCUCACCAAGUAUCAGAAGAAAUUCGGGCUUGCAAAGAUGGAAGGAAAGGCUUAUGUGGGUGGCGACUUAGUAUGUGAGGGGGAGUUUCUCCUUAUUAGCUCCACUGGGUGA